UACGGAGGGGGCUAGCGUUGUUCGGAAUCACUGGGCGUAAAGGGCGCGUAGGCGGCUUUGCAAGUGACGGGUGAAAUCCCUCGGCUUAACCGAGGAACUGCCUGUCAAACUGCAUGGCUUGAGACCAGGAGAGGUGAGUGGAAUUCCCAGUGUAGCGGUGAAAUGCGUAGAUAUUGGGAGGAACACCAGUGGCGAAGGCGGCUCACUGGACUGGUACUGACGCUGAUGCGCGAAAGCGUGGGGAGCAAACAGG
rnacentral:rRNA from 1 species